AUUAGAGUUUGAUCCUGGCUCAGGAUGAACGCUGGCGGCGUGCUUAACACAUGCAAGUCGAACGAUGAAGCCCAGCUUGCUGGGUGGAUUAGUGGCGAACGGGUGAGUAACACGUGAGUAACCUGCCCCUGACUCUGGGAUAAGCCCGGGAAACUGGGUCUAAUACCGGAUAUGACCAUGGGACGCAUGUCUUGUGGUGGAAAGAUUUAUCGGUUGGGGAUGGACUCGCGGCCUAUCAGCUUGUUGGUGAGGUAAUGGCUCACCAAGGCGACGACGGGUAGCCGGCCUGAGAGGGUGACCGGCCACACUGGGACUGAGACACGGCCCAGACUCCUACGGGAGGCAGCAGUGGGGAAUAUUGCACAAUGGGCGCAAGCCUGAUGCAGCGACGCCGCGUGAGGGAUGACGGCCUUCGGGUUGUAAACCUCUUUCAGUAGGGAAGAAGCGAGAGUGACGGUACCUGCAGAAGAAGCGCCGGCUAACUACGUGCCAGCAGCCGCGGUAAUAAU
rnacentral:rRNA from 1 species